rnacentral:rRNA from 1 species
GGGUGAGUAACACGUAUGGAACCUGCCCGUAGCAGGGGGAUAAGCGGAAGAAAUUCCGUCUAAUACCGCGUAAUAACUCCGAGAGGCAUCUCAUGGAGUUUAAAGGGUAACACCGGCUACGGAUGGCCAUGCGGCGCAUUAGCUAGUUGGCGGGGUAACGGCCCACCAAGGCGACGAUGCGUAGGGGUUCUGAGAGGAAGGUCCCCCACACUGGUACUGAGACACGGACCAGACUCCUACGGGAGGCAGCAGUGAGGAAUAUUGGUCAAUGGGCGCGAGCCUGAACCAGCCAAGUCGCGUGAGGGAAGACGGUCCUAUGGAUUGUAAACCUCUUUUGUCGGGGAGCAAAAGACGUCACGUGUGGCGUUCCGAGAGUACCCGAAGAAAAAGCAUCGGCUAACUCCGUGCCAGCAGCCGCGGUAAUACGGAGGAUGCGAGCGUUAUCCGGAUUUAUUGGGUUUAAAGGGUGCGCAGGCGGAAGAUCAAGUCAGCGGUAAAAUUGAGGGGCUCAACCUCUUCGAGCCGUUGAAACUGGUUUUCUUGAGUGAGCGAGAAGUAUGCGGAAUGCGUGGUGUAGCGGUGAAAUGCAUAGAUAUCACGCAGAACUCCGAUUGCGAAGGCAGCAUACCGGCGCUCAACUGACGCUCAUGCACGAAAGUGUGGGUAUCGAACAGGAUUAGAUACCCUGGUAGUCCACACAGUAA